rnacentral:rRNA from 1 species
GACGAAUGGGGCUAGCGUUGUUCGGAAUUACUGGGCGUAAAGCGCGUGUAGGCGGUUGCCCAAGUCGGGUGUGAAAGCCUUGAGCUCAACUCAAGAAAUGCACUCGGUACUGGGUGACUAGAGGACCGGAGAGGAUAGUGGAAUUCCCAGUGUAGUGGUGAAAUACGUAGAGAUUGGGAAGAACACCAGUGGCGAAGGCGGCUAUCUGGACGGUUUCUGACGCUAAGACGCGAAAGCGUGGGGAGCAAACAGG